UACGGAGGAGGCAAGCGUUAUCCGGAAUUAUUGGGCGUAAAGCGUCCGCAGGUGGCGAUUCAAGUCUGCGGUCAAAGCCUGGGGCUUAACCCUGGAACGGCCGUGGAAACUGAAUAGCUAGAGUGCAGUAGGGGUAGAGGGAAUUCCCGGUGUAGCGGUGAAAUGCGUAGAGCUCGGGAAGAACAUCGGUGGCGAAAGCGCUCUGCUGGACUGCAACUGACACUCAGGGACGAAAGCUAGGGGAGCGAAUGGG
rnacentral:rRNA from 1 species